AGAGUUUGAUCAUGGCUCAGGAUGAACGCCGGCGGUGUGCCUAAUACAUGCAAGUCGAGCGCACUGGCCCAACUGAUAUGACGUGCUUGCACUGAAUUGACGUUGGAUUCCCAGUGAGCGGCGGACGGGUGAGUAACACGUGGGCAACCUGCCCUGAAGCGGGGGAUAACAUCUGGAAACAGGUGCUAAUACCGCAUAACAACGAAAACCACAUGGUUUUCGUUUCAAAGAUGGUUUCGGCUAUCACUUCAGGAUGGGCCCGCGGUGCAUUAGCUAGUUGGUAAGGUAACGGCUUACCAAGGCGAUGAUGCAUAGCCGAGUUGAGAGACUGAUCGGCCACAAUGGAACUGAGACACGGUCCAUACUCCUACGGGAGGCAGCAGUAGGGAAUCUUCCACAAUGGGCGCAAGCCUGAUGGAGCAACACCGCGUGAGUGAAGAAGGGUUUCGGCUCGUAAAGCUCUGUUGUUGGAGAAGAACGUGCGUGAGAGUAACUGUUCACGCAGUGACGGUAUCCAACCAGAAAGUCACGGCUAACUACGUGCCAGCAGCCGCGGUAAUACGUAGGUGGCAAGCGUUAUCCGGAUUUAUUGGGCGUAAAGCGAGCGCAGGCGGUUGCUUAGGUCUGAUGUGAAAGCCUUCGGCUUAACCGAAGAAGUGCAUCGGAAACCGGGCGACUUGAGUGCAGAAGAGGACAGUGGAACUCCAUGUGUAGCGGUGGAAUGCGUAGAUAUAUGGAAGAACAUCAGUGGCGAAGGCGGCUGUCUGGUCUGCAACUGACGCUGAGGCUCGAAAGCAUGGGUAGCGAACAGGAUUAGAUACCCUGGUAGUCCAUGCCGUAAACGAUGAGUGCUAGGUGUUGGAGGGUUUCCGCCCUUCAGUGCCGGAGCUAACGCAUUAAGCACUCCGCCUGGGGAGUACGACCGCAAGGUUGAAACUCAAAGGAAUUGACGGGGGCCCGCACAAG
rnacentral:rRNA from 2 species